UUUGCUUGUUCCUUUUUGAAUUGU
rnacentral:piRNA from 1 species